rnacentral:piRNA from 1 species
UGGGUACUAUGAGAGGGUUCCCCUCUGCUGA